rnacentral:rRNA from 1 species
CUACGGGUUGCACCAGUGGGGAAUAUUGCACAAUGGAGGAAACUCUGAUGCAGCAACGCCGCGUGGAGGAUGACACUUUUCGGAGCGUAAACUCCUUUUAUAUAGGAAGAAGAUGACGGUACUAUAUGAAUAAGCGCCGGCUAACUCCGUGCCAGCAGCCGCGGUAAUACGGAGGGCGCAAGCGUUACUCGGAAUCACUGGGCGUAAAGAGCGUGUAGGCGGAUUAAAAAGUCAGAAGUGAAAUCCUAUAGCUUAACUAUAGAACUGCUUCUGAAACUCUUAAUCUCGAAUAUGGGAGAGGCAGAUGGAAUUUCUGGUGUAGGGGUAAAAUCCGUAGAGAUCAGAAGGAAUACCGAUUGCGAAGGCGAUCUACUAGAACAUUAUUGACGCUGAGACGCGAAAGCGUGGGGAGCAAACAGGAUUAGAUACCCUUGUAGUC